UACGUAGGUGGCAAGCGUUAUCCGGAAUUAUUGGGCGUAAAGCGCGCGCAGGUGGUUUCUUAAGUCUGAUGUGAAAGCCCACGGCUCAACCGUGGAGGGUCAUUGGAAACUGGGAGACUUGAGUGCAGAAGAGGAAAGUGGAAUUCCAUGUGUAGCGGUGAAAUGCGUAGAGAUAUGGAGGAACACCGGUGGCGAAGGCGGUUAGCUGGGCAGUUGCUGACACUGAGGCGCGACAGCGUGGGGGAGCAAACAGG
rnacentral:rRNA from 1 species